UACGGGGGGAGCAAGCGUUGUUCGGAUUUACUGGGCGUAAAGGGCGCGUAGGCGGCCAGCACAAGUCAGUUGUGAAAUCUCCGAGCUUAACUCGGAAAGGUCAACUGAUACUGUGCGGCUAGAGUGCGGAAGGGGCAACUGGAAUUCUUGGUGUAGCGGUGAAAUGCGUAGAUAUCAAGAGGAACACCUGCGGCGAAGACGGGUUGCUGGGCCGACACUGACGCUGAGGCGCGAAAGCCAGGGGAGCGAACGGG
rnacentral:rRNA from 1 species